rnacentral:tRNA from 1 species
GGCGAGAUGGCCGAGUGGUCUAAGGCGCUAGGUUCAGGUCUCCUAGUCUGAUUUUUCAGGCGUGGGUUCAAAUCCCACUCUCGUCA